AUUGAACGCUGGCGGCAGGCUUAACACAUGCAAGUCGAGCGGGGGGAGGUAGCUUGCUACCGGACCUAGCGGCGGACGGGUGAGUAAUGCUUAGGAAUCUGCCUAUUAGUGGGGGACAACAUCUCGAAAGGGAUGCUAAUACCGCAUACGUCCUACGGGAGAAAGCAGGGGAUCUUCGGACAUUGCGCUAAUAGAUGAGCCUAAGUCGGAUUAGCUAGUUGGUGGGGUAAAGGCCUACCAAGGCGACGAUCUGUAUCGGGUCUGAGAGGAUGAUCCGCCACACUGGGACUGAGACACGGCCCAGACUCCUACGGGAGGCAGCAGUGGGGAAUAUUGGACAAUGGGGGGAACCCUGAUCCAGCCAUGCCGCGUGUGUGAAGAAGGCCUUAUGGUUGUAAAGCACUUUAAGCGAGGAGGAGGCUACUUUAGUUAAUACCUAGAGAUAGUGGACGUUACUCGCAGAAUAAGCACCGGCUAACUCUGUGCCAGCCGCCGCCGUAA
rnacentral:rRNA from 1 species